AACGAAAAUACCUGUGCGUUGUGUGAAAUGGUGUAAAAAGUCCUAUUUCACGGAGUUACCUCUUCAGUAUCGUUUUGAUAUUAAGCAAUGAUCCGGCGGAAAACAACAGAUGACACCGCGGCGGUCCAACAAGACCGAACUCACGACCUGAAAAAUGGCCAAGCCGUACCAGCCAGACCUCAGACCCCGGUGCCCAGGAGCUCUUACAGAGUCCACCAGGAAGAAGAGAAAUUCAUACAGCAAGGCAGAGCGUGGAACGCAGUAAAGAUCUACAAAAUGGCGACGAAGGACGGAUCUGACGACGAAGUCAUG